UGACAAUCAACCUGUACAGCUGUGAUCCC
rnacentral:piRNA from 1 species